UCGGCCGCGCCCCGCGAUGCCUCUGCAGCUCCCGGCCCGCUAAGGAGAGGGCGCCUUCCUCCGCGGUUUGCAGAGCGCGGAGACCCGCGCGAGGCGGGCGGGCCCUGUCGGGCGGCUCUCGGCCUGGCCGCUGCGCUAGGACCUCCGCCGCCAGCUGCAGCCUCUCGGCUCCUCCCCAGAUGAGCCGAGGCCCAGAGCCCAGGCCAAGUCCCUCCCCGGAGCCGCUGGGCGUCUGCGCCGCCGGAUGAGCCCCCGCCGGGAGGCGACCUUGUGCCCCACGGCCGGUCUCGCGGCCCCACAGCGGGCGAGGAAGAGGAGGAGGAGGCAAAGGCGACAGGACUGCGGCCGCCGGAGAGGCCAGAGGAGCGCGACUUGGGGACCAAAUCCAGAGGGCACAAGCAGGCGGCGAAGCCCCUGCACCCGGCUGGGCCCCACCCCACCCCAGGGGGACCACGCCUGCGCCUUAACCCUGGCGGCGCCGGCAGUGCAGCUGGGAUUGCUUGGCACUGAGAGCACGCAUGCACUUCAGUGAGGCAGGAGCCUCCAGUGAUGCCUGGGGCUGAACACAGAACAGGCACUCAAAGGAGGGACCACACGCCACCAUCCACCCUGGGACCGGGGGUGAGAGGCCGAGGGAAGACAUGUGACAACAGUCUGAAGACAGAGCACACCCCACAGAGGGGACUGAGCAGCACCCUUGGCUGGAUCUUUCUGCCUGGCUCCUUUGUGCAGUGCUCUGAGGAGUAAUUCGAUUUGGUUCAAUCGGUAAUUUGAUUUGGAAAUUGCAGAGAGCAAACACGGUUACACACACACAGACACACAGUGCUACACACAAACAACAGACGCACACAGAGACACACACACAGCCUGGACCUCCCUGAGGCCUCUGCCUUGUGGCUUCGUGGACAGAGCCCCCCCUGCCCCACCACCCCGGGCCAGGCUGGGCUGUCCAGGAAGGCUCGUGGAGGUGAACACGUGGCCCCCAUCAGAGACCACAUGGGUUCUGGGGGCUUUUUUCUGCCAAAGGAUCCAAUAAGCUAAUGUAAAAUAUGUCGGACAGUGACAGGAAUUAUGUAGAAACAUAAAAUUGGGUACUGCAGGAAGGGUAAUAAAUUCUGGGUAUGAAGAGAUGGCUAUUUUAUACCGGUUGGUUUCUGAGAGAGUGACUUUUUUGUUUGUUUUUUGAGACAGGAUCUUGCUCUGUUGCCCGGGCGGGAAUGCAGUGGGUCGUUAUAGCUCGCUGCAGCCUCACAGCCUGGGCUCAGAGAGUGGCUGUAACUGAAACUUGUUCCUGAGGGAAUAAGUGGCUUGGAGGUCUGCGGGGCAGUGUCCUCAGCAGAGAAGCUGAAAAUGCCAAGGCCCAGGCUGGGGCUGCCUGACGACACACUUGGGGGGUACAGGGCUGGGGUCGUGGUGGCCAGGCUGUGGGAUGGGGCCAUUCAAGGGCUGCGGACGGAGAGGCAGAUGGGCCCAGAUGGGGGAGGCUCGCCGCUGGGCGGACGCAGGGAGACUGGAUGGGGGCUGGGCCACAGCCAUGGUGGAAUAAGAGAGGUGGGAUAAGAGACCAGCUGUGCAGCGAGAAGGGGGAGGUGACCCAGCCAGAGCCCUGGGGAGGAGCCACUAUUAUCCGGCUGUUCUCUGACGAGCAGCUUUGGGUGCUGGGGAUUAGGAACCUGACUCUGGACUAUGUGUCCUCGGAGCAUGCAAAGCCUGUGGGGGGGUGGGCUCCCCAGGAAUGAGGGGUGCAGAGGCCUGAGAACUGAGCCCUGUCUGCCCUGAGUGGUCAGGAGGCUCAGGAAGCCGUGACAGUGACCCUAAGACAGUGAGAAGCCCGGGGGAAGGGAGGAUGCUGACCACGGGCCGGUGAGGCCAUGCAAGGUCAUUGGCGGCCGUGACGGGUGGUCUUGGCGUAGCAUAGGCAGGCGUUGAAGGGGUCCUGACGGGAGCAGAGGGCUUUGUGUUGUCGGGGGCAAGAGUCAUCAUCUCUCUUCCCUUGGUAGGUCUGAGCAGACACAGACCCUGUGACAAAAGACAGAUUAACAAGAGAAAAACAAGUUGAAUAAGCUGUGUGUCUCCAGUAUACAUGGCAGAUUCUCAGGGAAAAGUGAGCACAUCUCAAAGACAUGGCUCUGAGUUCAGCCUUAAAUGCCACAUUCAACGGAAACAAAGAGAAAGAGGUGUGGGGAGGGCCCAGGAAAUUGCCACACAUAAGUGGUGCCUUCUCCGUGGGUGACAGCCCUGCUGAUUCAGGGACAGAGUGGGAGACACCGUGAGUGGAGAUUUCCUUUAUAGAUGUAAAUUUCUCUCACAAAGGGUCACGUCCAUCCUGUUUUCAGAGCUUCUCCUGCGGCUGUGGCUUCUCAAAAUAGGCAGCUCAAAAUAACCCUAAUGCCAAAGAGGCAUAUUUUGGGGAGGCAUAUUCUAGUCUCUGCUACAGUCACAUUUUGGGGUGGCAUAUUCUGGUCUCUGCAGUCACAUUUUGGGGAGGCAUAGGCUAGUCUCCUCCGUGUGAAAGGUGCAGAGAAAUGGGGGUGAGGGCAGGACCAACACCAGCUCCUGGACCCGAGUCUUGCUGGGGUUUCUGAGGAUGAAUAAGCUGGAGGGGGAGCAACUGCCCCCAUCGAAUCAUCCCACCACCAGCUCAUGCCAAGGAAACCUGCCCAGGACACCAGGGCUUGACAAGGUGCGGUGGCUACCCUACAGCAGCCAGGAGGAGGGGAUGAGGUGCCCAGGGUGUGCAGGCACUUGGCCAGAAAGUCACAUUCAGAGUCCCCAGGAGACCAGGGCAGAAGGAGGAACUCGCACAGGAGGCAGGGGUGGGGUCCAUCACCGUGGGUCCCUGGGACUCAUGGCCAGGAAAGGUACCCACUUGCUACCAUGGAGGGCAGCUGAGAAAGCACGUGACCCCUCCAAUGAACUCAAAGCCCCCAGCCGGACUGGGGGAGCCCCUGGUGAUCUUUCCAAGAGAGCUGCUCAUGGUCAGCAGGAAGUAGAAACAGGGAGGUGAGAGCAGCAGUCAACGUGCCGCCCUUGUGUGAGGAAGGGGACGAGAAGCGCGUCUGCGGACAGUUGCAUGGGGGAUGUCGGAGCAGAACUGAGGCUAACAGGGUGGUCAUCUGUGGGGCGCCGGUGCUGAGGGCGAGGGUGGGAAAGCGACUUGUGGGUGCAUGAUGGGUUAGGAGGAGGAGGAGCCGGAGCAAAAGCAUCCUGAACUGCAGGCCGGAGGGCGAGGCUUCACCACCCCAGCCCACACUUGUGCCCACAGGUCUCGCCGAGGACCCACCACUUCGGGAGACAGGGCUCCUUCCUGGGGGGGUAGAAAGGGAAGCGGCCCACCCUCAGGGCCCGGGAGUGUGGAACAGUGAGGCCCACUCAGCUCAGGCCUGGCACCUGCACUCUCCGGAUCCCGCGCUGUUUUCCCAAGGAUUACUCAUCCGGGACCCACCCGGAGGCUCCGGCCUGUUUACCACAGGCCAGGCCUGGCCACAGGCUAUUCUGGGAGCUCGAGGGCAGCUGGCUGAGGUCUGGAGGAGGCUGGUGCUCUGGAUGGCAGGAGGAGGGCCAGGCCAUCGCGUCUUUACUGCGCAUCUACCCUGCGCCAGGUGCUGGACCAAGCGCUUUAUGGGGCGUGUGAUUUAAUUCUUGUCUGGAGCCAGGGAAUGUGACAAUAUUAGGGCCUCUCCCAAGGCCACCGUGGAGCUGGUGGGGCUGGGCCUGGUUGUCAGGGUUCACACUGGGAGUCAGGGGGCCAUUUGCAGGAGGAAAUGCUGUCACAGGAGAGGGAGCCGGGCAGGAUCUGAGUCCUCUGGGCUGCGUCUGAGAAACUCGGGGGACAGCUGGGGUCUGUUCUGUGAACAAGAGUGGACUUGUCCUUCCUGCCACCAUCUCUGGCCAGCCAGCCCCUUCACCCACCAGAGCCCCUCCUGCCUGGACUUCUGGUCUGUUCCCUCCCCAACCACAGCCUGAAGGGGCUUGGAAACUAGAAUUUCUUUGUACUAAUUAGAUAAACAAGCCAAAAACCUGCAAAUAAAACAAUUAAAAAGCUUGA